rnacentral:rRNA from 1 species
GACGAACGCUGGCGGCGUGCUUAACACAUGCAAGUCGAACGAUAAACCCGGAGCUUGCUCUGGGGGAUUAGUGGCGAACGGGUGAGUAACACGUGAGUAACCUGCCCUUGACUCUGGGAUAAGCUUAGGAAACGACGUCUAAUACCGGAUAGGACCUUUGGCCGCAUGAUCUGGGGUGGAAAGUUUUUUCGGUCUGGGAUGGACUCGCGGCCUAUCAGCUUGUUGGUGAGGUAGUGGCUGACCAAGGCGUCGACGGGUAGCCGGCCUGGGAGGGUGACCGGCCAGACUGGGAAUGAGGGACGGGCCAGACUGCCACGGGAGGCAGCAGUGGGGGAUGUUGCGAAAAGGGGGCAAGGCUGAUGAAGCAACGCCGGGUGCGGGAUGAGGGCCUUCGGGUUGUUAGGCGCGUUUAGUAGGGUAGAAGGGCUUGGGAUUGACGGUACCGGGAGAAAAAGGACCGGCUAACUACGUG